rnacentral:lncRNA from 1 species
UAGAUUAUGAGGCUGUAGGGCAUGCAGGCUAGAAAUACCAUAGAGUGGAGGACUUAGUUCAGGGUGGUAUACUUUGAUUAAUUUUGUUUCAGGUAGAGCUGCUUUUCCCUUUCUCUCCUCAAUAACUAGCUCCAUUAAGGAGAUUCAGAGCCAUCCUCUUCUGUUUUCUCCUCCUCUCACCGGCUGCAGCUGCUACUCUAAGACAUUCAGGAAGAUCUUCUGCUCAGAUUAAAGGUCAAAGAGAAACAGUCUUCCAGAAAAUAUGCAUAAAAGAAAGGACCUUACAAGACAACUUGCAUGGAUACUCUGAAGCAACUUUGAGGUCUCCUUGAUGAGGAAAGUUGGCUCAACCUGCUGUAGAGUAGGCCCACAGCCAAGCCAUUGAGAGACAAGUCCAUGGGAGACAAAUUAGCUCAUGCAGCUGAGAUGUCCUGGAGAUUUUCCACAGCACCACUUGGCCAGUGCCUGGACAAGGUCUCAGUUUCUGAUCCUCUUGGGCAGAAGCAGGUCUUCUACUAUAUUAUCUGAAGCCGUGUUGCCGCCUGGACCCAAGGCCACUGUGCCCAGCCUUUGUGCUCCCUGGAUCUCCUCCAGGAGCACCCUCACCCACUGUGCAAAAGGCUGUGCAAAGUAGGUAAGAGUGCCCAGA